UCGUAACAAGGUUUCCGUAGGUGAACCUGCGGAAGGAUCAUUACUGAGUGAGGGCCCUCUGGGUCCAACCUCCCACCCGUGUUUAUUUACCUUGUUGCUUCGGCGGGCCCGCCUUAACUGGCCGCCGGGGGGCUUACGCCCCCGGGCCCGCGCCCGCCGAAGACACCCUCGAACUCUGUCUGAAGAUUGUAGUCUGAGUGAAAAUAUAAAUUAUUUAAAACUUUCAACAACGGAUCUCUUGGUUCCGGCAUCGAUGAAGAACGCAGCGAAAUGCGAUACGUAAUGUGAAUUGCAAAUUCAGUGAAUCAUCGAGUCUUUGAACGCACAUUGCGCCCCCUGGUAUUCCGGGGGGCAUGCCUGUCCGAGCGUCAUUGCUGCCCUCAAGCACGGCUUGUGUGUUGGGCCCCGUCCUCCGAUUCCGGGGGACGGGCCCGAAAGGCAGCGGCGGCACCGCGUCCGGUCCUCGAGCGUAUGGGGCUUUGUCACCCGCUCUGUAGGCCCGGCCGGCGCUUGCCGAUCAACCCAAAUUUUUAUCCAGGUUGACCUCGGAUCAGGUAGGGAUACCCGCUGAACUUAAGCAUAUCA
rnacentral:misc_RNA from 1 species